GCAGAACAUGGCGCAGCUGAUCAGCAAUGCGCGUGUGUGAAGAAGGCCUUGCGGGUUGUAAAGCACUUUCGGUGGGAAAGAAAAGCGUCGGGUGAAUACCCCUGCGUCUUGACGUUACCCACAGAAGAAGCACCGGCUAACUCCGUGCCAGCAGCCGCGGGUUUAAUAGCCUGAUGCAGCAUGCCGCGUGGGGAGAAUGCCUUCGGGUUGUAAAGACUUUCGGUGGGGAGGAAGUGCUUACCAACAAUACCUACCAGCUCGGUCACGGCCUUCGCUGGAAGGCUAC
rnacentral:rRNA from 1 species